ACUUCCGGGGAAGCGGCCGAACUGGGGCCUUCCAGGGUCCACGCCGUCUGAGGCCCGAGAGAGUCGGUUCGGCCCCGGUGUUCGCGGAUCCCGGCUCGCGGGAGCCUCGGGGCCAGGCCAGGGAGGCAGAGCAAGCUGCAGCCAGCCGGCGCCGGGCUCGUCGGGCUUCGCAGGUCCGGCCAGCCUACCUCGCCCCACCGCGCAGGGGCCAGCGGCGUCGCGGGCGUUUUCGUGGCGGAAUGGCGUCCUCACUGAGCGCCCAGCCACCACCGCGGACUCGCGCUCGCUUCCUCUGGGGCCCGCGCGGCCUGGGGUCGUGUCUGACCGCGGGUGUCCACGCAACACCUCUGCAGUUUCACUUUCCGGGGGAAUCGCGGGGACCUGGAGCGAACUCUUCCCUCCCUCGCGAGGGCCCCGGGCCCCGCUGUGGUCCACAGAGCACCUUGAGGCCCGGCGUGGAAGGGCGAGUUUGGGGCUGUCGGUAACUUAAUGAGGCACGCCUUUGAGUCGUGGGCCUCAUGACGUUUCCGUGGAAGGCGGGCCGCAUAUACUGUGGUGGUCCCUUCAGAUUACCACGUGUUGGCCAGACGCGGUGGCUCACGCCUGUAAUCUCACCGCUUUGGGAGGCCGAGGUGGGGUGGCGGAUCACGAAUCCAGGAAAUCGAGACCAACCUGGUGAAACCCUGUCUCUACUGAAAAUACAAAAAUUAGCCGGGCGUGGUGGCUGGCGAGCGCCGUAACCCCAGCUAUUGGGGAGGCUGAGGCAGGAGAAUCGUUUGAACCCCGGAGGCGAAGCUUGCAGUGAGCUGAGAUGUCGCCAUUGCACUCCAGCCUGGGCGACAGAGUGAGACUCCAUCUCAAAAAUAAAAAAAUAAAAGAUUACCACGUGUUGUUCGGAUCAUCUGGCCUAGGUGUGGGGUAGGCUGUCCCAUCUAGGUUUGUCACAUAACAAAAUCGCCUAAUGACACAUUUCUCAGGACAUAGCUUCACCGUUGAGUAGCACAUGGCCGUAUUGUUUUUUGUUUGUUUGUUUCUGUUGUUUUUUUUGAGACAGAAUGUUGCUCUUGUUGCCCAGGCAGGAGUGCAAUGGCAUGGUCUUGGCUCACUGCAACCUCUGCCUACUGGGUUCGAGCGAUUCUCCUGCCUCAGCCUCCCGAGUAGCUGGAAUUACAGGCGUGCACCACCACGCCAGGCUAAUUUCUGUAUUUUUGGUAGAAACGGUUUCACCAUUUUGGCCAGGCUGGUCUCGAACUCCUGAGCUCAGGUGAUCUGCCCGCCUCGGCCUCCCAAAGUGUUGAGAUUACAGGCGUGAGCCACUAUGCCAGGCCCGACUGUAUAGCUUUUAUUUUUAUUUUUAGAGGAAAGGUCUCAUGCACUCCAGCCUGUGUGACAGAGCGAGACUUUGUCUCAAAAAAAGAUAAAAAAAGAAAAUGGAAACAUUCCUACCAACAGUUUAUGUUUCCUUUGCUCCACAUCCUUCCCAACAUUUGGUGUUGCCAAGCGUCUUCAUUGUAGCCAGCCAAUGAGUGGGUAGUGGUAUCUUGUGAUUUUUAAAAUUUUGUUUAUUUUAUAGAGAAGAGAUCUCAUCCUAUCACCCAGGCUGAAGUUCAGUGAUGUCAUCAUAGCUCACUGCAGCCUGGAACUCCUGGGCUCAAGGGAUCCUCCUUCAUUGGCCUCCCAAGUAGCUGUAACUACAGGCAUGUGCCACCGUGCCUGGGUAUUCUUGUGGUUUUGAUUUGCAUUUCCCUGAUUACUAAUGGUCUUGAGCAUUUUUUUCCCCUGUGGUUAUUGCAUGCCAUCAUUGUAAGAUGUACUCUGAUUUUGAGGUAGGAGGCAGAACUUUAUUCCAGACCAGAUUAAAGACUGGCUGAAGGCCGGGCGCGGUGGCUCACGCCUGUAAUCCUAACACUUUGGGAGGCCGAAAAGGCGAGCAGAUCAGCAGAUCGAGACCAUCCUGGCUAACACGGUGAAACCUCAUCUCUACUAAAAGUACAGAAAAUUAGCCGGGUGUGGUGGCUGGUGCCUGUAGUCUCAGCUACUCGGGAGGCUGAGGCAGGAGAAUCACUUGAACCCAGGAGGCGGAGGUUGCAAUGAGCUGAGAUCGCACCACUGCACUCCAGCCUGGGCGACAGAGGGAGACUCUGUCUCAAAAAAAAAAAAAAAAAAAAAAAGCUGGCUGAAACUGGGAAGAGGCAAAAGCACCGCUCCAUGAGACAUGCCCACCAGUGCCAUCUCUGUUUACCAUUGCCAUGGCAACACCCACAAGUUACUGCCGCUUCCCAUGAUAACCACCCCAAAGUUAACGACCUUUUUCUAAAACUUUCUGAAUAACUUGCACCUUAAUUUGUACAUAAUUAAAAGUAGUUGGCCGGGUAUGGUGGCUCACGCCUGUAAUCCCAGCACUUUGGGAGGUCGAGGCGGGCAGAUCAUGAGAUAAGGAGAUCGAGACCAUCCUGGCUAACACAGUGAAACACCGUCUCUACUAAAAAUACAGAAAUUAGCCAGGCGUGGUAGCGGGCACUUGUAAUCCCAGCUACUCGGGAGGCUGAGGUACGAGAAUCGCUUGAACCCAGGAGGCAGAGGUUGCAGUGAGCUGAGGUUGCGCCAUUGCACUCCAGCCUGGGCGACAUACUGAGGCUCUGUCUCAAAAAAAAGAAAAGAAACGAAAAAAAAACAGAGAGAGAGCCGGGCGCGGUGGCUCAUGCCUGUAGUCCCAGCACUUUGGGAGGCCAAGGCGGGCGGAUCAUGAGGUCAGGAGAGAUUGAGACCAUCCUGGCUAACACAGUGAAACCCUGUCUCUACUAAAAAUACCAAAAAAAAAAAAAAAAAGCCGGGCGUGGUGGCAGGCACCCUUAUCCCAGCUACUCUGGAGGCUGAGACAGGAGAAUGGCGUGAGCCCAGGAGGCGGAGCUUGCAGUGAGCCGAGAUCGCGCCACUGCACUCCAGCCUUGGGCAACAGAGCAAGACUCCGUCUCAAAAAAAAAAAAAAAAAAAAAAGAAAAGAAAAAAGAAAAAAAGAAAGAGAGGAGGCUUAGAGUCAGAGAAGUCAAUGUGGUGCUGGGAUCUGAGAAAAAGAACCUGGAAGAUGGUCAGUUGCUGGCUUUGAAGAUGGAGGAAGACACUAAACCAAGGGAUGCAGGACAAGCUGGAAAAGGCAAGGACAUAGAUUUUCCCUGGAGCUUCCCAGAGGAAGCCAACAUCUGGAUUUUCGUCCCAUAAGACUCAUCUCAGAUUUGUGAGCUCCAGGACUGUAAGAGUCUCGCUUAUGUCACCUAGACUGGAUGGAAUGCAAUUAUGUGAUCUCAGCUCAC
rnacentral:lncRNA from 1 species